rnacentral:rRNA from 1 species
UACGGAGGGGGCUAGCGUUGUUCGGAAUUACUGGGCGUAAAGCGCGCGUAGGCGGACCUGCAAGUCGGGGGUGAAAGCCCGAGGCUCAACCUCGGAACUGCCUUCGAUACUGCGGGUCUCGAGUCCGGGAGAGGUGAGUGGAAUUCCUAGUGUAGAGGUGAAAUUCGUAGAUAUUAGGAAGAACACCAGUGGCGAAGGCGGCUGCACUGGCCCGGUACUGACGCUGAGGCGCGAAAGCGUGGGGAGCGAACAGG